GCUCUUUGAGCGUUAACUAUAUCCAUCUACACCUGUGAACUGUUGAUUGACUUCGGUCAAUUACUUUUACAAACAUUGUGUAAUGAACGUCAUGUUAUUAUAACAAAAAUAACUUUCAACAACGGAUCUCUUGGCUCUCGCAUCGAUGAAGAACGCAGCCAAGAUCAUUAGUGAAUUGCUCUUUGAGCGUUAAACUAUAUCAUCUACACCUGUGAACUG
rnacentral:misc_RNA from 1 species